UACGAAGGGGGCUAGCGUUGCUCGGAAUCACUGGGCGUAAAGCGCACGUAGGCGGAUCGCUAAGUCAGGGGUGAAAUCCUGGAGCUCAACUCCAGAACUGCCUUUGAUACUGAGGAUCUUGAGUUCGGGAGAGGUGAGUGGAACUGCGAGUGUAGAGGUGAAAUUCGUAGAUAUUCGCAAGAACACCAGUGGCGAAGGCGGCUCACUGGCCCGAUACUGACGCUGAGGCACGAAAGCGUGGGGAGCAAACAGG
rnacentral:rRNA from 1 species